rnacentral:sRNA from 1 species
CUGGGUCUGCCUUUAACCGCAGCAUCCACCGGGUCUUCCAGGAUAAGCAGAUUGAGGUAGGCCCACCUCAUCCCCUGCCCAGCCUACCCCUCCCCAGAGGAGCCCCCUGCUCCUCCCCCACCUCGAUCCCUGUCCCCGCAGGACCUGUGGCUGCCUUACUUCAACGUGACCACAGAUAUCACCGCCUCAGCCAUGCGAGUCCACAAAGAUGGCUCCCUGUGGCGGUAUGUGCGCGCCAGCAUGACGCUGUCGGGCUACCUGCCCCCGCUGUGCGACCCCAAGGAUGGGCACCUACUCAUGGAUGGCGGCUACAUCAACAAUCUGCCAGGCAAGUGGCUGCCCUCACCACCCGCACACGCAAGCACCUCCCGCACCACACACACGCACACGCAUGGGCACACGCAGACAGGCUCAAUGAUGGGACACGUGCCCAAGCUGCCCAUACAGGGGUGCAGACACACAUGCGCACACAUAUGGUCACGUGCACAAGUUGAUACAUGAACGUGCCUGGGGACAGCGACAUGUGCGGUUGAAAUCUACAUUCUGGCCGGGCGCGGUGGCUC